GCACCUAGUUUACACCUAGAAGAUUUCACAUUAAAUGAGCACUUUGA
rnacentral:tRNA from 1 species